rnacentral:rRNA from 1 species
UACGGAGGGUGCGAGCGUUAAUCGGAAUUACUGGGCGUAAAGCGUGCGCAGGCGGUUUUGUAAGCCAGAUGUGAAAUCCCCGGGCUUAACCUGGGAAUGGCAUUUGGGACUGCAAGGCUCGAGUGCGGCAGAGGAGACUGGAAUUCCUGGUGUAGCAGUGAAAUGCGUAGAUAUCAGGAGGAAUACCGAUGGCGAAGGCAGGUCUCUGGGCUGACACUGACGCUCAUGCACGAAAGCGUGGGGAGCAAACAGG